GUAUUCUUUAGCAUCAAAUUUAUCCAACCCUUUUGGGUAUCAAAGUUUGGAUCCAUGCAAGUGGCCAAGAAGAAUGUGUUUCUUGAGUGUCACAGGGACCUUGGGAUGCAAGUAUUUUCUCUGGGAGGGUUGUUAGUCCUCAGAAAAAACACCAUUCCUUUCAUGGCCUGUGAGAGCUGUGGACCUGCCCAAGCCUUCAGAGCCACCAGAGAAGUCUCCAAGGUCUUCCUUCUGUGCAGAGUGUUCUGUCCUACACCGGGAGGAAGAAAUGCUACACAGAGAGGCUGAGAAGAAUCUGAACAAACAGGCCUUGCUGGAUUUCCCCUUCAGUUUAUUGCCAUUUGCUUGCACUUUUUGUCGAAUCACAUUUCUACAUGGUGUUAACCAAACAUAAAAUACAGUUUUCCCUGGGUCUUUGCAUCUUCAUUUCUGAAGGUUCCCCUGUCACAUAAAAUGUUGAUUAAAUAAAUUUGUUACAUUUUUCCCUUGCUAAUCUGUCUUUUGUUAUAGGAGAGUUGGCUGUGACCCUUGUGAUGAAUGAGAAGAGGUAUUACCUUUUCACCCCUACACUCCCAUGGGUAUGUCCAGGGUUACACACAAUUCCUCACAUGCUAACUAAGACACCAUCCCACAAGAAAGCCUAUCAGUAGACAAUUGCAUGACACUGACAUUAUUAUAAUUGGAAACUUAAAUCUGUUGUAUAUAUUAAAUUGUGUUAAAAUACAUAUAACAUAAAGUUUACCAUCUUAACCAUUUUAAAAUGAACAGUUUGGUGGCUGGGCGUGGUGGCUCAUGCCUGUAAUCCCAGCAUUCUGGGAGGCCGAGGUGGGCGGAUCACGAGGUCAGGAGAUCAAGACCAUUCUGUGAAUGGUGAAACCCUGUCUCUACUAAAAAUACAAAAAAUUAGCCUGGCGUGGUGGCAGGUGCCUCUAGUCCCAGCUACUCGGG
rnacentral:lncRNA from 10 species